AUAUCGCCGACAUCGAAUCGGAAAUCCGGACGUACGUCAGCGAAAUUGAGGCGGCAGAGGUCGAUAUCGC
rnacentral:sRNA from 1 species